rnacentral:lncRNA from 10 species
CUUCCAGGAAGCAAUAUUUUAAAUUUGGAAGUGAUUGGCCAUUCCCCAAUCCCCACUUCCAAACCAAACGCACGAAACACUACUGAAUAUGAUCAAUACUGCCUUUGUGUUUAAUUUCCUCUCCUGGGUAGUCAGCCGCCAAACCAGUGAGCAAUUAUUAGGCGCUUGGCACGUGCCAGCGCUGUGAAUCCAGUGGGCAGAUACUGUUAGACUGGAGCCAAAUGAAAACAGAACCACAUCUUGAAAGGGCUGAAAGACAACUUGCUACCCAUAUUUCUAUAUUCAAUGAAAGGCUCUUCCAGAAUGAAGACAAAAUGAUGACAUUCAGAGCUAAACAAAAACUAACAGAACUCAUCACCAGAAGACUCAUACUUGAAGAAAUGUUACAGAAAGUUACUCAUGUCGAAGAAAAAUGAUAUCAGAUGGAAAAUUUAGAUGUUCUAGAAGGAAUGAAGAACACUGAAAAUGAUAUAAUGCGUAUGACAACUAAAGAAUGAAGGAUGAAGAGAGAAGAGGUGGCUGCUGGAAAGUCAAAGUAACUAAAAUAUUC